rnacentral:rRNA from 1 species
CCCUUAGAUGUCCUGGGCCGCACGCGCGUUACACUGAUGCAUUCAACGAGCUUAUAACCUUGGCCGAGAGGCCUGGGCAAUCUUGUUAACGUGCAUCGUGAUAGGGAUAGAUUAUUGAAAUUAUUAAUCUUGGACGAGGAAUUCCUAGUAAACGCAGAUCAUCAAUCUGCAUUGAUUACGUCCCUGCCCUUUGUACACACCGCCCGUCGCACCUACCGAUUGGAUGGUCCGGUGAAGCCUCGGGAUUGUGGUUCUUGCCGCUUUGUUGUGGCGUGACCGCGAGAACUUGUCUAAACCUUAUCAUCUAGAGGAAGGUGAAGUCGUAACA